rnacentral:rRNA from 1 species
UACGUAGGGUGCAAGCGUUGUCCGGAAUCAUUGGGCGUAAAGAGCGUGUAGGCGGCCAAGCAGGUCCGUUGUGAAAACUGGAGGCUUAACCUCCAGACGUCGACGGAAACCGCGCGGCUAGAGUCCGGAAGAGGAGAGUGGAAUUCCUGGUGUAGCGGUGAAAUGCGCAGAUAUCAGGAAGAACACCAAUGGCGAAGGCAGCUCUCUGGGACGGUACUGACGCUGAGACGCGAAAGCGUGGGGAGCGAACAGG